rnacentral:rRNA from 1 species
UACGGGGGGAGCAAGCGUUGUUCGGAUUUACUGGGCGUAAAGGGCUCGUAGGCGGCCAACUAAGUCAGACGUGAAAUCCCUCGGCUUAACCGGGGAACUGCGUCUGAUACUGGAUGGCUUGAGUUUGGGAGAGGGAUGCGGAAUUCCAGGUGUAGCGGUGAAAUGCGUAGAUAUCUGGAGGAACACCGGUGGCGAAGGCGGCAUCCUGGACCAAUUCUGACGCUGAGGAGCGAAAGCCAGGGGAGCAAACGGG